UUCGCAAUGCCCGAAAGGGUGACGAAGCGACGCGGCGUGUGGGAAGAAGGCCUUCGGGUCGUAAACCACUGUCAGGAGUUAGGAAGUGCAAGGGCGUUAAUAGCGUUCUUGCUUGACUAAGGCUCCGGAGGAAGCCACGGCUAACUCUGUGCCAGCAGCCGCGGUAGUACAGAGGUGGCGAGCGUUGUUCGGUAUUAUUGGGCGUAAAGAGCACGUAGGUGGUUUUGUAAGUCAGGUGUGAAAGCCUUCUGUUCAAAGGAAGAACGGCAUCUGAAACUGCAGAUCUUGAGUGUAGGAGGGGAGAGUGGAACUUCUGGUGGAGCGGUGAAAUGCGUAGAUAUCAGAAGGAACGUCGGCGGCGAAAGCGACUCUCUGGCCUAUUACUGACACUGAGGUGCGAAAGUUAGGGGAGCAAACGGGAUUAGAUACCCCGGUAGUCCUAACCGUAAACGAUGGGCACUAAGUAGAGGGGUUUU
rnacentral:rRNA from 1 species